rnacentral:rRNA from 1 species
UACGUAGGGAGCUAGCGUUGUUCGGAAUUACUGGGCGUAAAGCGCGCGUAGGCGGCUUUGUAAGUUAGAGGUGAAAGCCCGGGGCUCAACCCCGGAAUUGCCUUUAAGACUGCAUCGCUAGAAUCCAGGAGAGGUGAGUGGAAUUCCGAGUGUAGAGGUGAAAUUCGUAGAUAUUCGGAAGAACACCAGUGGCGAAGGCGGCUCACUGGACUGGUAUUGACGCUGAGGUGCGAAAGCGUGGGGAGCAAACAGG